GACGAACGCUGGCGGCGUGCCUAACACAUGCAAGUCGAACGAGAUCCAUGGGAGCUUGCUCCCGGAAGAUCUAGUGGCGAACGGGUGAGUAACACGUGAGAAACCUGCCCUGGAGUGGGGAAUAACUCGGGGAAACUCGAGCUAAUACCGCAUACCCUCGGAUGGUCGCAUGGCCGACCGAGGAAAGAUUUAUCGCUCUAGGAGGGUCUCGCGGCCUAUCAGCUAGUUGGUGGGGUAGCGGCCUACCAAGGCAACGACGGGUAGCUGGUUUGAGAGAACGAUCAGCCACACUGGGACUGAGACACGGCCCAGACUCCUACGGGAGGCAGCAGUGGGGAAUCUUGCGCAAUGGGCGAAAGCCUGACGCAGCAACGCCGCGUGCGGGAUGACGGCCUUCGUGGUUGUAAACCGCUUUCAGCAGGGACGAAAAUAGACGGUACCUGCAGAAGAAGACCCGGCUAACUACGUGCCAGCAGCCGCGGUAAU
rnacentral:rRNA from 1 species